ACAGCCCUGCGCGGGGUGGGGCGGCAGCCGGGAUAGGAGUGCGCCGGAAACCCCGUGUCCUGGGAGCCGCCUGAAGAAGCCCAAGAAGUUGAGGCUCUGAGGUGCUGCCAUCCUUCACCUGGAAUCCUUGGCUCUUGUGAAGCCCUCCUGUUGAAGACAAGAAAUCAGUCAUUCAACAGUAAUGAGUCACAGAGCUGAAGCACCAAACCCGGCUCAAGAAGGGGCUCAACAGUGAACAGUGACAAAGCCAGGAAAU